rnacentral:rRNA from 1 species
UGCAGUCGACGAUGAAGCCCAGCUUGCUGGGUGGAUUAGUGGCGAACGGGUGAGUAACACGUGAGUAACCUGCCCCUGACUCUGGGAUAAGCCCGGGAAACUGGGUCUAAUACCGGAUAUGACUUUUGACCGCAUGGUUGAGGGUGGAAAGAUUUAUCGGUUGGGGAUGGACUCGCGGCCUAUCAGCUUGUUGGUGAGGUAAUGGCUCACCAAGGCGACGACGGGUAGCCGGCCUGAGAGGGUGACCGGCCACACUGGGACUGAGACACGGCCCAGACUCCUACGGGAGGCAGCAGUGGGGAAUAUUGCACAAUGGGCGCAAGCCUGAUGCAGCGACGCCGCGUGAGGGAUGACGGCCUUCGGGUUGUAAACCUCUUUCAGUAGGGAAGAAGCGAGAGUGACGGUACCUGCAGAAGAAGCGCCGGCUAACUACGUGCCAGCAGCCGCGGUAAUACGUAGGGCGCAAGCGUUAUCCGGAUUUAUUGGGCGUAAAGAGCUCGUAGGCGGUUUGUCGCGUCUAUCGUGAAAGUCCGAGGCUCAACCUCGGAUCUGCGGUGGGUACGGGCAGACUAGAGUGAUGUAGGGGAGACUGGAAUUCCUGGUGUAGCGGUGAAAUGCGCAGAUAUCAGGAGGAACACCGAUGGCGAAAGCAGGUCUCUGGGCAUUUACUGACGCUGAGGAGCGAAAGCAUGGGGAGCGAACAGGAUUAGAUACCCUGGUAGUCCAUGCCGUAAACGUUGGGCACUAGGUGUGGGGGACAUUCCACGUUUUCCGCGCCGUAGCUACGCAUAAGUGCCCCGCCUGGGGAGUACGGCCGCAAGCUAAAACUCAAGGAAUUGACGGGGCCCGCACAAGCG